UACAGAGGCCGCGAGCGUUAGGCGGAAUCACUGGGCUUAAAGCGUGUGUAGGCGGAUUGCUAAGUACCUUGUGAAAUCCCUCAGCUUAACUGGGGAACUGCGUCUGAUACUGGAUGGCUUGGAUUCGGGAGAGGAAUGCGGAAUUCCAGGUGUAGCGGUGAAAUGCGUAGAUAUCUGGAGGAACACCGGUGGCGAAGGCGGCAUUCUGGACCGACAUUGACGCUGAGGAGCGAAAGCCAGGGGAGCAAACGGG
rnacentral:rRNA from 1 species